rnacentral:rRNA from 1 species
GACGAACGCUGGCGGCGUGCUUAACACAUGCAAGUCGAACGAAGUGGCGAACGGGUGAGUAACGCGUAAUCAACCUGCCCUUCAGAGGGGGACAACAGUUGGAAACGACUGCUAAUAACGCAUACUGAAGGAGGGGCUUGCGUCUGCAUAGCUAGUUGGAGGGGUAACUGCACACCAAGGCGAUGAUCAGGAGCCGGUCUGAGAGAAUGAACGGCAACAUGGGGACUGAGACACGGCCCAGACUUCUACGGGAGGCAGCAGUGGGGAAUCUUCCGCAAUGGACGAAAGUCUGACGGAGCAACGCCGCGUGAGUGAUGACGGCCUUCGGGUUGUAAAGCUCUGUUAAUCGGGACGCGGUACCGGAAUAGAAAGCCACGGCUAACUACGUGCCAGCAGCCGCGGUAAUAC